rnacentral:rRNA from 1 species
AUGGCAGUAGUUAUUCGUUUUGUUGAUAAACCUGGUUUCACUCGUGAGCGUUUUCUUGAUAUUGUUCAUGUUGCUGAUACAUCUUCGGCUACUCUAAAAGAAGAGAUAUCUUCUAUUUUGGUUCAACAUCAGUUAGAUGUGAACAAUAUUCGCGGCCAAGGAUACGAUGGUGCUAGUAACAUGCGUGGAGAGUGGAAUGGACUACAAGCAAAGUUCAUGGAGGAGUGUCCUUAUGCAUAUUAUAUCCAUUGGUUUGCUCAUCAGUUGCAGCUAGCUCUUGUUGCUGCAUCAAAAGAAGUAGCCGAUGUUCACAACUUUUUUGAUCAUCUUGCUCUUGUUAUCAAUACGGUUGUGUCUCCUAGUAAGAGACAUGAUGAGUUGCAAGCAAAUCAAGUUGCUGAAAUGGAGCAUUUGAUUGAGCUUGGUGAGCUUGAAACUGGAAGUGGGGCUAAUCAAGUCGGAACUUUACAACGGCCUUGUGAUACUAGGUGGAGUUCACACUAUGCUUCUGUUUGCAGCCUUGUGAAAUUGUACAAACCAACAUUUUUGGUACUUAAAAGCAUUGCAACUUCUAAAGGAUCUGGUACUUCACCUUCCACAUGA